UACAGAGGGUGCAAGCGUUAAUCGGACUUACUGGGCGUAAAGCGCACGUAGGUGGUUGAGUAAGUUGGUUGUGAAAUCCCUGGGCUUAACCUGGGAACUGCAAUCAAGACUGCUGAACUAGAGUCGAAGAGAGGGAAGCGGAAUUUCCGGUGUAGCGGUGAAAUGCGUAGAUAUCGGAAGGAACAUCAGUGGCGAAGGCGGCUUCCUGGAUUCAGACUGACACUGAGGAGCGAAAGCGUGGGUAGCGAACAGG
rnacentral:rRNA from 1 species